rnacentral:piRNA from 1 species
UGAGUCCCAAUUAAGUAAUGU